UCAGGUGCCUAUAUCGGCGGUGUCCACCUCUUCCCAUUCCGAACAGAGAAGUUAAGCCCGCCAGAGCCGAUGGUACUGCAGUAAAAUGUGGGAGAGUAGGUCGGUGCCCAAU
rfam:Mucilaginibacter sp. PAMC 26640, complete genome.